rnacentral:rRNA from 1 species
AGUGGAUGGGGAGCAACCUAGUUGUGCGUGUGUAAAGGUAGUGCCAAGAAAAGCGGUGAUCAUGAUGAAAAUCAAUUCCCGGUACCCGAAACCGACUCAGGUGGGCAAGUAGAGAAUACUAAGGGGCGCGAGGUAACUCUCUCCAAGGAACUCGGCAAAAUGACCCCGUAACUUAGGGAGAAGGGGUGCCACCGAGAGGUGGUCGCAGUGAAGAGGCCCAGGCGACUGUUUAGCAAAAACAUAGGUCUCUGCAAACUCGAAAGAGGAGGUAUAGGGGCUGACGCCUGCCCAGUGCCGGAAGGUUAAAGAAGUUGGUCAGUCUUAGGAUGAAGCUAGCGACUUAAGCCCCGGUGAACGGAGGCCGUAACUAUAACGGUCCUAAGGUAGCGAAAUUCCUUGUCGGGUAAGUUCCGACCCGCACGAAAGGCGUAACGAUCUGGGCGCUGUCUCGGAGAGAGGCUCGGCGAAAUAGGAUUGUCUGUGAAGAUACGGACUACCUGCAUUUGGACAGAAAGACCCUAUGAAGCUUUACUAUAGCUUGGAAUUGUGUUCGGGCUAGCUGUGCGCAGGAUAGGUGGGAGGCGUAGAAGGUAUUCUUGUGGGGAUACUGGAGCCAACGGCGAGAUACCACUCUCAGGAGGCUAGAAUUCUAACUUAAUUAAGGACAGUUUCAGGUGGGUAGUUUGACUGGGGCGGUCGCCUCCAAAAAGGUAACGGAGGCGUACAAAGGUUCCCUCAGACUGGUUGGAAAUCAGUCGAAGAGUGCAAAGGCAGAAGGGAGCUUGACUGCGAGAAGUACAGUUCGAGCAGGGUGGAAACACGGUCUUAGUGAUCCGACGGUGCUGUGUGGAAGGGCCGUCGCUCAACGGAUAAAAGUUACUCUAGGAUAACAGGCUGAUCUCCCCCAAGAGUUCACAUCGACGGGGAGGUUUGGCACCUCGAUGUCGGCUCAUCGCAACCUGGGGCGGAAGUACGUCCCAAGGGUUGGGCUGUUCGCCCAUUAAAGCGGUACGUGAGCUGGGUUCAGAACGUCGUGGGACAGUUCGGUCCAUAUCCGAUGUAGGCGUGAGAAUAUUGAGAGGAGCCUUCCUUAGUACGAGAGGACCGGGAAGGACGCACCGCUGGUGUACCUGUUAUGAUGCCAAUUGUAAACGCAGGGUAGCCAAGUGCGGAGAGGAUAACCGCUGAAAGCAUCUAAGUGGGAAGCCCACCUCAAGAUGAGUAUUCUGGUGUAAGGUCACGGGAAGACGACCCGUAAAUAGGCACGAGGUGGAAGUGCAGAGAUGUAUGAAGCCGAAGUGUACUAAUAGACCGUCGGCUUGACC